CUUUUGUUCAAAAUAAGAGAUGAAACACUUUAAAGAAUAUGGUCCUAUUGUUAUGUAUUUUAAGGUGAAUUCGCUAGGUUUGUACAAUCUGAAAAUGAGAGCUCAGAAUUGUGCGCCUGUUCGAAGUCGAAAACGAGGGUGCGAACUGAACCAUUAAGGCGGGAGGGGGAGAAGAAGGGGAUGAGAAAGGAAUGUGGUGUAAACAAAAGACGAUAGGGUAAAAAGCCGGAGCCUAGAAAGAAGAUUAGCAAAAUGAAAGAUUUUCCGACAGAUUUUUUUUCUUGAGAGGAAUAGUUGGGUUUCAAAGUUCUAAUCUAUUGCCCACGGAAUCCAGGAACCAAUAGAUUUUUUUUUCUUCUUGCCGUUUAAGGCUUUUUUGCGCGUUUUUUGUUUCUUUACCAUUUUAUGCUAUGGCAAGUUUUUAUUUCGAUUUGUAGCACCUCCACUCAGCACCUUGCGCACCUUGCUAUUUUCCAGCGCUAAAAGCUAUUCAAAAAAGCAAUGCUUACAUCUAGAGGAGGAGAACUCUCUAUUCGAUCUUUUUUAAUGCCAGAAAAAUGAUAGAUAAUUUUUUUCUUUUCCAGUUAAUCAGGGACCAUUGCCGGAAGAAAACCCUGAGCCGGCUGCGUUGUCUGAAGAUUUUGAGAUAGUGGAAGUUCCAUCAGUGAAGGAAGGGGAACGUGUGGUUGAAGAAGGUGAAUGUAUGGAUGAAGAAGGUGAACAUUUGGAUGAAGAAAUAUAACGUUUGGAUGAAGAAGGUGGGGAUGAAGUUGCCGGCAACUUGAUCUAUACAGACGCUAAUAAUAUUCAAGAAAGGCAGUUCCCAUUAAAGAAAUUAUAGAGUUUGACAUUAUUGGAAGUUCAGCUGCAACGACAAAACCAUUCAAAGGGGAAUUUGGCUUUAUCAUUCUCGAGGAAAUCUACAUCAGAAGACCAGGAAAUAUUCAUCAUCGGUCUUCUGGAAUACAUAUUUAAACACCGGCUGGUGAAGAUGAUAAUUUUUUCUCGAAACGUGAGAAGCCAAAAAAAUCCCAUCACAUUUUCGCCGUUGUACGACGUAAUCAAAAGAGCAGCAAUGUUAAAAUUCGGGAACAACCAAUUUUUGGACAAAGCCAUCAGAAAAUGGAUAAAGCUCCACCGAUAAGUCAGAAGGGUGAAAGCAAAGACGCAACUGAGGGAGGCCAUCCAAAUAAUGUCACAUGUAAAAAAAAUUGUCUUGCCUCUACAUGGAAAUAUCCCCUUUCCCUUCGCUCCUACGUUAAGUUUCACCCCGUUUCCUUAACCUGUGGUGUUACUUCAUAUGUAAACUUGAAAAUAUUCCGCUGAUACGUGACGUAUAAAUAAACUAAGAAAUAUCUGAAGAAGCUUUUCAGCAAUCAAAAUUCCGAUUCCUUGCGAUCGCGAGUUUCGUAAUAGGUUACAUCGUUUGUCGAGAAUAUUGACGCUGUUUCAAUCUUUUGUAUUGUAAGACGGAAUACAGUUAGAAUAAGUAAUUAAAAGGGAGAGAGAAACUGAGAGAGAGAGAGAGAAGUCAAUCUGCCGUGAUUCGGACGAGGCGACGUCUGAAAAGAGAGGGCUAGAGAGAGA
rnacentral:lncRNA from 1 species